UUCAACAGUGCCAGGAUAGUGCUCAAAAAUGACGACGGAACUGACAAGUAUGUCCUGAAAGGGUCUAAACCAAAGAAACAGUGGGUUGUCAUUCCACUGAAGGAAAAUGUGUCAUAUGGCUACGUGGACAAGCUAUUCGCAGAGCUCUUCAGAUGUUUGAGCAAGUGGCCAACAUAUGAAAGUGCCGAGAGGGCAAAUCCACGUGUGCAGCGGCCAACACUGUGCAGCUCCUAUGGAGAGAAGCCAAGCAUCGAAGAAGUUAGGCAGAAUCAUUGGAGUAGAUUCCAAAGAUAGAUACAUCCGUAUGCAAGGUAGGCCGCUGGUGCAAUCACUGGUUGCUUGUAAUGCGAUUCGAUAUGACCAUGCAUUAUCACAGUUGAAGGGAGACUGCACACAGAGAAGAAUGAAAGGAAUGCCCUUGUAGCUGAUGCUUUGGAUGUGUAUCACACUUCACACAAAAGGUAAAGGUGCCUCUUUUAGACGUAAAGCACUGAGAGAAACAAAAAUAAUGCAAUCAAUGCAAUUUUCACCCUGAUUUUCAUAAGUCUAACACCCAGCACAAGGCCCUAAUUUACGCACUAGCUAGCAUUUAUAUUGUGAUGUGUGACACUCGCAUAAUUGUAGGUUGCUUGGAGCAGGUGAGCUGGAUCAGCUGUAGUGAUGAUGGUAGUGUCUGUGCUCCUGAACUGACCUUGACAAACUCGUGACAAAAUGUGGACUACAGACAAGUGGGAUAUGACAGCUCAUGCACACCACGACAACAGAUGAAAACGGGCAACAGAUGAAAAUUAUGACCGUGAUUGCCAGGUAGCAUACCACUGGGAAGCCAGUAUGUGAUAUGUCAUUGCAUAUGUUAUGUAGGCAAACUGAGGAAACGUCAGUAUAAUUCAUUAUCACAGAUGACGACAAAAUGGUGCAAUGCGAAGAAUGGUCUGUUUUUAAUUGGGGCUGCCUUCUCACUGAAGAUAAGUAUUGCACGUACAUGCAAUCUUAUACAUAUAAAAUAUAGUAGGUUACAAUGACUUGAGAAACAACACAGUGUGACAUUGGUAUAAUUAUCUGUUGCAGGUAUGGCUGAAGGUAGCACCUUGAGAACAGGUGAUUGCAGUUGCCAUGUAGGAUACUUUUGGGACGCUGGUACGCGAUAUAACACUGAAUAUAUUAUGUAAGCAAACUGAGCAAACAUUGAUAAAAUGCG